rnacentral:misc_RNA from 1 species
ACGCGUCAAUUAUCUCCUCGCUCGUCUCCGUCGGUGAAUGGACGAGCUUAACUUCCACGCCGCCUUCGAGGCAAUCAAGAUACUCAACGCCAGCGAGGGACCUGCCUCUAACAUCUUUGAGCCGAAGUUCGAGGCGCGCCACCAAGCGGAGCAGCUGCGUGACACGAUCGUUAAUGUCUACCGCGACGAGGCCUCAUCGCGCGCGCUUGAGCAACUGUGCCGAUGCCUUGUGCUCAUCGGCACGACAAUGAUGGAGGUAGAGGAGGAAGAGGAAGGCUACAAGGAGGUUUGCCGUGCUUAUCAGGUGAUGCAGUGGUGCGUGACGGCCGCGUUGCCAUCCAUCGAUGCCGUUCGCAACGUGCAGGCGGUGGAGCAGGAUGCCAUUCUCAACACCACCUCAGCCGAGUGCACAGUUGCAGCGUCUUCUGGGUAUCCAGGGUGCGUGGGGUACAUGGCCGUGCACAACGCACUCGGUUUUUACUUUUCGAAAGCGGACCUGGGCAAAGCCAAGACGGUGCUAGACCGAGCAGAGGCCCUGUACAACGAGUGGGCUGCUUGGUGGGAAGGCCAGCCAGCCCACUGCGACAUUGCAGAGGUGCCCGUCAGCGAAGACGGCACCCUCCGCACUGGCGAGAUCUCGGCUGACCGCGCGGCGCCGAUACUCCUGCGCUUCUACAUGGACAGCAGCUACACCGCUACGCUCUUCUUCAUGGCACAGCUGCACACCGCACAGCAGAACGCUGCCACCGCCUCCCAGUACUGCCAUCGUACCUUGCACUACCAGCUUCUGAGCAAGCAGGAGUUCAACCGGAAAUCGUGGGCUACCAACGCGCUUCAGCUCAGCGGAUUCUACAGCAGCUACUUCGCCUACGACAAGGCGUUUCACUGCCUCGUUGCCGGGCAGAAGAUGAUGCCGGCCAGCGAGGAGCCAGAGGAGUCCAAGGGACUGGUCGCGUGGGCCUUUGGUCGUUUCUUUCUUCAUCGCCUGCACCACUAUGGUAGACUCCUCACAGGUGGUGAGCCAGACAGCGAGAAGGAUGGCAUGCUCGCGCAGCUGGAGAAAUCUUGGCGUGACUUCCCUGGGAUGCCGCCGCUGCAGCCCCAGCCGCCUAUCAUCACCUUCGAUGAGGCGCGCGAGUGCUUUAAGGAAGGAAUCAAGUGGCUGCAGGAGGCGCAGGCGUGCCGUCCCUUUGAGUCGUUUUGCACCGAGCACAUCGACAUUGCGCGUGAUAUGGUGCAGCUGUACGCUGCGCUGCAGUUAUUCGAGCCGAAUCGCGCACGCCGCAUCGCCAUGAUGCAGCGGCAGGCACACCUGCUCGAAGAGUUUCCAGAUCAGCUCAGCUUCAACGCAUACCCAGUGGUAGUGCGACAGCUGUUGUACGACCUCGGCUCUCUCUACGAGGACCAGAUGCGGCUGCGGGUACAGCAGCGCAAACAACCACAGCCCGAUGAGAAGCCGCUCACCAACAAUGCGUUCAACGCAGUGGUGCGCAAGACGUUGGGGUACUACGAACGCUUCUGCGAAACAUGGCGCCAUCCCACGACGCAUGCCAUUCCAGAUGUGCUGGAAGAGGACUCACGCGUGCCCUUCUUCAGGGCCCUGAUGCGUCGUGCCCAGGUGCAGCUCAGCUACGCAUACCGCACCCCGAAGGAGGAGUAUGACGGCAUCGGCGUGUCGUGCAAGGCCUACAGUCGCGCCAUUGACUUCUAUGAGAAGAACCCGCUCUCGAAGGAGCUGGACGCCGAGGUAUCGAAGGAGGUCGAGCUGGCCCGCGAGAUGCUGAAGCUGCUACCGGUGAAGCAGCGUGACCUGUGGACUGCGUAUCAGCGCAACUCCGCGUAGGGGUGUUUUACACGGACCGGAUGGCAUGGAAUGACAAGUAGAGUUGCUGGGCAAGCUGCAGGCGCAGGCUACCGCCAUACAGGAAGUCACCCGUGCACUCUACGGCAAAUCCGCGGGCUUGGGCAGCGGCAGCGGCUUCAACGUCGCCCAAGACGAAUAAAUUUGCGACUUCGUCGAAGAAACGCAGCGCAUCGAUGCAGCACUUGAAAGGAUCUAGUUUGGUGUGCAGCGCGUCGAUGAGAACGCGCAGGCCAUUCAACACCAGCUCGGCACGCAGGAGAGAAUGCAGCAACGCAUGAAUAAGGCAGCGAAGAACGAGGCGAAGAUGGCAAGCAUGAGACGGAAGUUGCAGCGCAUGAUCGAGAGGCUUGGCAAGUCUCGUCUGAUAACGUAUGCAGUACUUUGCGUCAUCCUUAUCGUGCUCAUCAGUGUGAUUAUCUUUCUGGGUAAGCCGCUCUAGGGAGAGGGAGGUGUCGAGUCGUGGAGAUGGCCGACUGGGCACAAGGAGCCUUGUGCUGCUACUGCCACGGUGUGGUAAUGGCUGCUGCGGCCCGGACAUCUUCGGUGAGGGUGCACUGCCUGCGUAUGUGUGUGUGUGUGGGGGGGGCGUGUGUGGAAGGGCGAGCACCCUGCCACGGCAUUUCAAUCGUACGGGAGGCUGCCGUGCGAGCAGCAACGCCGACACCACGUGAAGCUUCACAGCAACC